GAAACUAAGCAUAUCAAUAAGCGGAGGAAAAGAAACCAACAGGGAUUGCCCUAGUAACGGCGAGUGAAGCGGCAACAGCUCAAAUUUGAAAUCUGGCUCUUUCAGAGUCCGAGUUGUAAUUUGCAGAGGGCGCUUUGGCUUUGGCAGCGGUCCAAGUUCCUUGGAACAGGACGUCACAGAGGGUGAGAAUCCCGUACGUGGUCGCUAGCUAUUGCCGUGUAAAGCCCCUUCGACGAGUCGAGUUGUUUGGGAAUGCAGCUCUAAAUGGGAGGUAAAUUUCUUCUAAAGCUAAAUAUUGGCCAGAGACCGAUAGCGCACAAGUAGAGUGAUCGAAAGAUGAAAAGCACUUUGGAAAGAGAGUCAAACAGCACGUGAAAUUGUUGAAAGGGAAGCGCUUGCAGCCAGACUUGCUUGCAGUUGCUCAUCCGGGCUUUUGCCCGGUGCACUCUUCUGUAGGCAGGCCAGCAUCAGUUUGGGCGGUGGGAUAAAGGUCUCUGUCACGUACCUCUCUUCGGGGAGGCCUUAUAGGGGAGACGACAUACCACCAGCCUAGACUGAGGUCCGCGCAUCUGCUAGGAUGCUGGCGUAAUGGCUGUAAGCGGCCCGUCUUGAAACACGGACCAAGGAGUCUAACAUCUAUGCGAGUGUUUGGGUGUCAAGCCCGAGCGCGUAAUGAAAGUGAACGGAGGUGGGAACCCGCAAGGGUGCACCAUCGACCGAUCCUGAAGUUUACGGAAGGAUUUGAGUAAGAGCAUGGCUGUUGGGACCCGAAAGAUGGUGAACUAUGCUUGAAUAGGGUGAAGCCAGAGGAAACUCUGGUGGAAGCUCGCAGCGGUUCUGACGUGCAAAUCGAUCGUCAAAUUUGGGCAUAGGGGCGAAAGACUAAUCGAACUAUCUAGUAGCUGGUUCCUGCCGAAGUU
rnacentral:rRNA from 1 species